rnacentral:tRNA from 1 species
GCCCGGCUAGCUCAAUCGGUAGAGCGUGAGACUCUUAAUCUCAAGGUUGUGGGUUCGACCCGUAAGUAGAAACAUCUCGCGUGUGCA